rnacentral:rRNA from 1 species
UACGUAGGGGGCAAGCGUUAUCCGGAUUCACUGGGCUUAAAGGGCGCGUAGGCGGGUUGGUAAGUCCGUGGUGAAAUCUCUGAGCUUAACUCAGAAACUGCCAUGGAUACUAUUUGUCUUGAAUAUUGUGGAGGUAAGCGGAAUAUGUCAUGUAGCGGUGAAAUGCUUAGAUAUGACAUAGAACACCAAUUGCGAAGGCAGCUUACUACACAGUUAUUGACGCUGAGGCACGAAAGCGUGGGGAUCAAACAGG